rnacentral:lncRNA from 1 species
CGCCGGUGGUAGAUGCCAGUUAAACGUCGGACCCACCACCAAGGCAACUUUGACUUGCUUGACUGAAAAAUAUUUUUAACAGAAUUUUGACAGAAUUUCCUCUAAAAUAUGAACUAAAACUACCUGAACAAUAACCAAUUUUCCUCAAAUCAAUACCUAUAAUAUAAAUCAGGAUAUGCCAGACCCUCAAAAAUACAAACUAUUCAAAUAUAAUGCUAGGAAAUCAAUAUUUACUUGAUUUACAACCAAUAAUCUUCAAAAGUACUAAAGAUACCAAAUAUCUAAUGAGCCCAUAAUGAACUUUUCUGAUUUAACAUAUGUGUAUCCCAAAAGAACACAAUGUAUAAUCCAAUAAAAGAUGUCAUACAACCUAUGACGCGUGGCUCAAUUCGGUGGUUCGACAUGCUCCAAAGCUGCUCAAUUUGUCUGUUUUCUGUCUGAUAAAGAAAAAGGUGAAAAAAUAUAUGAGCUUAAAGCUCAGUGAGUGGAUAAUUUACAUAUAAACAUAUUUUUC